GGAAAUCUUCCCUUUUUUGUCCCGGUCUUGAAACGUGCUGAGCCUCGAGAGGCGGAGAAAAGAGUGGUGCACUGUCUGCAUCAUCACAGAUGUUUUUCUUUGCCUUGGCUUCCAAACUGGAGUACCUUUGUCCUGUUUCUGACUCUAAACGGAUGUAAAGAUGAGUAUCUUACGGGAUUUUGAAGCAGAAUUGGGUGGAUCUGUGGAAAGCCUGACAUAAUGCCUGGAGAAGGAAAUGGAAUGGAUGAGGACCAAUACACUGAAGCUCAAUAAAGACAAAACUGAGGAGCUGUUGGUCACUGACAUGGACACUCAAGGAUAGAAGAAUCAUCCAGUGCUAGAAGAAGUUGCACUCCCCUAGAAGGAGCAGAGUUAUACUUUGUGGGUGCUGCAGCAUCCUAGCAUGUGAUUGGAAACUCCAGUCUCUGUACUUUUUAUCAGCUUUGGCUGAUAUGCCAGCUACAGCCAUGCCUCACAUCCGCCCUGAGCCUGCUGAUGCGGGGAGGGCGGAAUAUAAAUCUAAUUAAAUAAAUAAAUAGUUACAAAAUGAAGUGGACUACCACUAACAGAGGGGAUUGAAUACAAUAGAAACAGAUAUAAUAAAUAUUUAUAAAGUGCAGUAGUGAUAAAAUGCUAGUACAUGUUAAAUAUGAUAAAUAUAAUAAAAUACAAUAUCAAAAUAUUUCACAAUUACUGUCCAGAAUAAAUACCAAACAAAAAUUUCCCAAGACAGCCAAAAAAGUACUUAAAUUUGUGCACAGGGACUCAUUUGUGUAGAAGGGACUCAUACCGACAUCUGAGGAGCUCCCUUGGCAAUUGUACAGCUGUCAGCACUUUCCUCCCUGCUUUAUGGUGCUAUGGGUGGAGACAGUGUGACAUCAGGGGCUUGUAAGCACAGCAGUGAGUGACAGUUCACUGUGCCCAUGUGUUCACUGUGUCCAACUAGCAGCAUCCAUGCCCUGCUGGCACAUCAUUGCUAUGAGUGUGCCACAGCUGUUAGGAUCAGAAUGGGGCUUCUCAACUACAACCUUAUUCCAUUUAUAAAAAUGCCUCCUGAACAACUCUAUUUUAUAUAUUCUGUAUAAUGAUACAAGUGUGGCCUCAUCAGUCAAGCCAUUCCACCAGGUGGGAGCUUCCAAGCAGGAGCCACAACAGAGAUCAGCUGUUGCGGGGUGGCACCUUCAGAAAGUUCUACUUUGAUCAAAAAUAUUACAGACAUGCAUACAUGUAUACUAUAUAUAUAUAUGACAUUAUAUGUGUCU